rnacentral:rRNA from 1 species
GAUGAACGCUGGCGGCGUGCCUAAUACAUGCAAGUCGAGCGAAUGGAUUAAGAGCUUGCUCUUAUGAAGUUAGCGGCGGACGGGUGAGUAACACGUGGGUAACCUGCCCAUAAGACUGGGAUAACUCCGGGAAACCGGGGCUAAUACCGGAUAACAUUUUGAACCGCGUGGUUCGAAAUUGAAAGGCGGCUUCGGCUGUCACUUAUGGAUGGACCCGCGUCGCAUAGCUAGUUGAUGAGGUAACGGCUCACCAAGGCAACGAUGCGUAGCCGACGUGAGGGGGUCAUCGGCCACACUGGGACUGAGACACGGCCCGGACUCCUACGGGAUGCAGCAGUAGGGAAUCUUCCGCAAUGGACGAAAGUCUGACGGAGCAACGCCGCGUGAGUGAUGAAGGCUUUCGGGUCGUAAAACUCUGUUGUUAGGGAAGAACAAGUGCUAGUUGAAUAAGCUGGCACCUUGACGGUACCUAACCAGAAAGCCACGGCUAACUACGUGCCAGCAGCCGCGGUAA